GAGUUUGAUCCUGGCUCAGAAUCAACGCUGGCGGCGCGCUUAACACAUGCAAGUCGAACGAGAAAGGGUAGCAAUACCUGAGUAAAGUGGCGUACGGGUGAGUAACACGUGGAUCAUAUACCUUUUAGUGGGGAAUACCCUUGGGAAACCGAGGACAAUACCGCAUAAUCCCGAGAGGGGAAAGCAGCAAUGCGCUGAAAGAGUAGUCCGCGGCUGAUUAGCUAGUUGGUAGGGUAAUGGCCUACCAAGGCAUUGAUCGGUAGCCGGCCUGAGAGGGCACACGGCCACACUGGCACUGAAACACGGGCCAGACUCCUACGGGAGGCAGCAGUGGGGAAUCUUGCACAAUGGACGAAAGUCUGAUGCAGCGACGCCGCGUGAGCGAUGAAGCCCUUCGGGGUGUAAAGCUCUUUCGACAGGAACGAUAAUGACGGUACCUGGAGAAGAAGCUGCGGCUAACUACGUGCCAGCAGCCGCGGUAAUACGUAGGCAGCGAGCGUUGUUCGGAAUUACUGGGCGUAAAGCGUGCGUAGGCGGUGCCUCAAGUUUGGUGUGAAAUCUCCCGGCUCAACCGGGAGGGUGCGCCGAAAACUGAGGUGCUCGAGUGUGGGAGAGGUAAGCGGAAUUCCUGGUGUAGCGGUGAAAUGCGUAGAUAUCAGGAGGAACACCGGUGGUGUAGACGGCUUUCUGGACCGUAACUGACGCUGAGACACGAAAGCGUGGGUAGCAAACAGGAUUAGAUACCCUGGUAGUCCACGCCCUAAACGAUGCAUAUUUGGUGUGGGUCAUUCAGUUGAUCCGUGCCGGAGCUAACGCGUUAAAUAUGCCGCCUGGGGAGUACAGUCGCAAGGCUGAAACUCAAAGGAAUUGACGGGGGCCCGCACAAGCGGUGGAGCAUGUGGUUCAAUUCGAAGCAGCGCGCAGAACCUUACCAGCUUUUGACAUCCCGGUCGCGGGCACCAGAGAUGGAGCCCUUCAGUUCGGCUGGAUCGGAGACAGGUGCUGCAUGGCUGUCGUCAGCUCGUGUCGUGAGAUGUUGGGUUAAGUCCCGCAACGAGCGCAACCCUCGCCCUUAGUUGCCAUCAUUCAGUUGGGCACUCUAGUGGGACUGCCGGUGAUAAGCCGGAGGAAGGUGGGGAUGACGUCAAGUCAUCAUGGCCCUUACGGGCUGGGCUACACACGUGCUACAAUGGCGGUGACAGUGGGCAGCUACCUAGCAAUAGGCAGCUAAUCCCAAAAGCCGUCUCAGUUCGGAAUGGGGUCUGCAACUCGACCCCAUGAAGUCGGAAUCGCUAGUAAUCGUAGAUCA
rnacentral:rRNA from 1 species